CACGUAGUUAGCCGGUGCUUAUUCUUACGGUACCGUCAUGACCCUCCUGUAUUAGAAGAAGGCUUUUCGUUCCGUACAAAAGCAGUUUACAACCCGAAGGCCUUCAUCCUGCACGCGGCAUGGCUGGAUCAGGCUUGCGCCCAUUGUCCAAAAUUCCCCACUGCUGCCUCCCGUAGGAGUCUGGGCCGUGUCUCAGUCCCAGUGUGGCUGAUCAUCCUCUCAGACCAGCUACAGAUCGUCGGCUUGGUAAGCUUUUAUCCCACCAACUACCUAAUCUGCCAUCGGCCGCUCCGUCCGCGCAAGGCCUUGCGGUCCCCUGCUUUCAUCCGUAGAUCGUAUGCGGUAUUAGCAAAGCUUUCGCCUCGUUAUCCCCCACGAUCGGGCACGUUCCGAUGUAUUACUCACCCGUUCGCCACUCGUCGGCACCCGAAGGCCCGUUACCGUUCGACUUGCAUGUGUAAGGCAUGCCGCCAGCGUUCAAUCUGAGCCAGGAUCAAACUC
rnacentral:rRNA from 1 species